rnacentral:misc_RNA from 1 species
UUAUGCAAUCGGGUUCAU